UAAUGUAGGUUUCCAUGGAAUCUAUUAAAAUGGAAAAUAAGCAAUUACGAAAGACCUAUUGUGUAGAUGCUGAAUCAUUCUAUAUGAGAAUCUUGUGUGUAAAAUUUCUGCCAUUUUGCCAGAGCUUCAAGAACUUGAUGGUAUAUGGAGGAAUCAGGAGAGGUGGGAAGGAUGAAAGGAGAAAGGUGCUAUCAAAGUUUCUAUUUCAGACUUUAGUUCCCUUGUUUACUUUCUGAUAACAAGUCAUUACCUAAAUGAAUACUUGGGAAUUUUAAUAUCCGACACUUUAGUUUCCCAAGUUUUAGAAUAUAUAAAACAGUCUCUAAUGUUUACCUUUGUUAGACAAUAUAAGACUCCCAGUAUUUAUCAUGCUUUCCAUCUCGCGCAAGCUAUUUCAUAACAUGUCAUAGCAAUCAUUAGUGUGGUGGCCAUAUAUGCGUUGAUACUUUUCUUGCU